GGCCCUGUGGCGCAGUUGGUUAGCGCGCCGUCCUGUCACGGCGGAGGUCGCGGGUUCAAGUCCCGUCAGGGUCGC
rnacentral:tRNA from 1 species